UACGCUUUAAUUACCCACCAUGCCAUUAGCUGCUAAUGACCCCUUUCAAGAAAAGAAAAAAUGUUGUAGCCCACGUCUUCAUCAAACUGCAUGCAUGACGCCACUCCUCUGCUACCGACGCCAUCGCAGGGGCCGGGGCCGCCGUCCCGUCCGCCGCUCCUUCUCUGUUGCACCACAGACGCUAGCGCGGAUCGCCGUCGCCGCCCGCCGCUCCUCCUCUAAUUCUAGACGGACGCGAGCUCGGAUCGCCGACGCCUCCUCCGGCCGCUCAUCCUCUGCCGCCCCAUGGUCUCGACGCCGGAGGCUCUCCUCUUGGUCGGCUGCUGCCCCCACGGAUGCGAGCUCCCGCCGCUCCUUCUUUUCUGCCCCACGGGCUCGCCGCCGGCCGCUCUCCCUUCGUCGGUUGCUGCUCUGUACGCCCAUAGCCGUAAUUGCGGAACGCGCCACCGAUUCUCUGCGCUGGAAGAUCAGGGGAAGGCUCUCCUCUGCAUCGGAUCUGGCAUCCUGAGCCUUCCAACGAUCGGAUCCGGUGAGAUUUUCCACCUCCUGCUGCCGUCCAUGUGUAGCUCGUCGACUUCACCCAAGAUGGCCACCAGGACGAGUCGACGACCUCUGCCUCAUAGUUGUCUUCCCCGAGAGCUGACGCUGUCUCCAUGCUGCACGAGGUGAACAUCUGCAGUAAAUAAUCAGGUGCUUCCUCAUUAUCAAAGUCAAUGCUCUGUGAGGUGUGCAGCGAGUGCGUGUGAAUGUGCCGAUGCGAGGUAGUGGGGGGUUCAGCAAGCUUUUUAACAAAUUGGCUGCUACGAAGACUGGUUGCUUCAAAUUUUGUUUUGGUGCUUUUGGAGAUUUGAUUGUACAAGAAAAUGAUCUACCUUGCAAUAUCAUUUUUCUUGCAAAUGAAGAAAUUCAGAGCAUCUAAGUCUUAAAUGUAUCUGCUAAAGUGUUGAUAUUAAUCCUUUAUGUUGUCCGGAAGUCAACGAACAACCAGACCAGGAUGGCGUGGAGCUUGAGCUUGAGCUGCAGCGACAAUGACAACUUGGGCGUCAACUUCAAAAAACAACAGUUCAAGUACUGCUCUCCUCCAGUUCAGUGGAAGCGUAGGAGGCAACCAUGGAGGUGAUAGACGCAAUGGCUUGAGCAUGACGGAUGGUUGUCCCUAAGUUUCUACCACUGAGUUGGUGCAUGCUCCAAUAUUACCAGGUCAGUGCUUCAAAUCAUCAGACCUUGGCGCUAUUCCUUGUCAUAGAGGAGAAGUAUGAUCAUGACCCUGCUCAAGUUCGGCCUCACUGCUGUCGCUGUAGCUGCUUCUAUGAGUCUCUAUAAUCUUCUUCGCCACCGGUUCAGUAACCCUCUCGGUUUUGUUCUCUCCUCUUCUCUUGUGCUCUCUGACCCAGACAUUGAUCGAUGUGACUCUUGUGAUGCCAGCCAUCAAGCUUCUCGUGCUUUGGUUACUGCUAAUGCUUGGCUCCUAAUGUAUAGGCGAGAGGAAGAUACAGUUGUACCUAAGAUUAGUAGUUCGCAUAUCAAAAGUCACCAUUCAGUUAGCAUGCGCACUUUAGCUAGCUUCCAAUUCACUUGUAGGUCUGAGAGAAAAGAGAGUGCCCUACCUUCUAUCUAGCUUCCAAUUAACUUGUAGGUGUACUAAGUUAUCCUUCAAUUUUCAGAUCAUGUACAACCUGAUUCAGUGCACAUGUUUCAGGGGCUAUAUUCAGUACAAAAUGCUCAAUGAAAAACCCUGCAAGUACUCUUAUUCA